AGCAUAUCAAUAAGCGGAGGAAAAGAAACUAACCAGGAUUCCCUUAGUAAUGGCGAACGAACAGGGAAGAGCUCAGAACCGAAUCCUGUGGCUUGAUGUCAUUGGGAGCUGUGGUGUAUGGGUGACGUUUUGCAGUGACUGUCUUGCUUUAAGUCCACAUGAUUGUGGCUUCUAGCCCAUGGAGGGUGUAAGGCCCGUAGAAGUGGGGCGGUCAUUGUUAUAAGUUACCCUUGAGUCGGGUUGUUUGGGAAUGCAGCCUAAAGUGGUGGUAAACUCCAUCAAAAGCUAAAUACAACACGAGUCCGAUAGCGAACAAGUACCAUGAGGGAAAGUUGAAAAGAACUUUGAAGAGAGAGUUCAACAGUACGUGAAACCGCUCAGAGGUAAGCGGGUGGAGCUGAAAGUUGUGUGUGAAUUGAUGCUUGCUGUUGUGGGCACGUUUGAAGGGUGACCUGUUACGGGCAUUCCCAGGCGUGUGCUGUUGUAACGGUUGGCUGUAUAUUCCAUGCAUGAAUCACGAUCGGCGAGAGGUGUGAGUCUGUCAUCAGCUAGAGGUAGCUCAUUGGCUUUCGGGCUUUUGGGUAUUUAUAAUGGUUGGUACGGAGCUUGCAUAUUGUCGAGCAUAGCGAUGCCAGUCAUACGACGCUCAAGUCGCCUUAUUAUGGUGGCAUUUUUGUAUAAAUAAUAUUUGUAUGGAAAUGUUCGUCUUAACUGAGGUGGCCUCUGAGUCUGGUGUCAAUAGUCGUGAUUUGCUUGUAGGCCCUCCACCCGGCCCGUCUUGAAACACGGACCAAGGAGUCUAACAUGUGCGCGAGUUAUUGGGUUCUACGAAACCUAAAAGCGAAUUGAAAGAGAAGGUUGCCUUCGUUGCAACUCAGGUCUGAUCAGUGCUCCCACGGGGGUGCAGCGCAAGACCGGCUUGUCUCAUGCUUUUUAAGCGAGGCAACGCAAGAGCGCAUAUGAUGGUACCCGAAAGAUGGUGAACUAUGCCUGCGUAGGUUGAAGCCAGAGGAAACUCUGGUGGAAGACCGCAGCGAUUCUGACGUGCAAAUCGAUCGUCAAACGUGGGUAUAGGGGCGAAAGACUAAUCGAACUAUCUAGUAGCUGGUUCCUUUCGAAGUUUCCCUCAGGAUAGCUGGCAUUCGAGGAACAAACAGUUUUAUUCGGUAAAGCGAAUGAUUAGAAGUAUUGGGGAUGAAAUGUCCUCAACUUAUUCUCAAACUUUAAAUGGGUAAGAAGUCUCACUCUCUUAAAUUAUGGAGUGAUGACAUUGAAUGUGAAUGCCUAGUGGGCCAUUUUUGGUAAGCAGAACUGGCGAUGUGGAAUGAACCAAAAGCGGUAGCUAAGGUGCCUAACUGAGCGCUCAUGACAUACCACAAAAGGUGUUGGUUGAUAUAGACAGCAGGACGGUGGCCAUGGAAGUUGGAAUCCGCUAAGGAGUGUGUAACAACUCACCUGCCGAAUCAACCAGCCCUGAAAAUGGAUGGCGGUGGAGCGUUCGACCUAUGCUGCGCCGUUACAGUAAUGAGAGAUUUUAAACUGUAACGUGUAGAAAGGUGACGUGGUAAGCGUAGAAGCUCGAUGCUAUAGUCGGGUGGAGCUGCCAUGUGUGCAGAUCUUGGUGGUAGUAGCAAGUAUUCAAGUGAGAUUCUUGAAGACUGAUGUG
rnacentral:rRNA from 1 species